rnacentral:rRNA from 1 species
UAAGGAAUAUUGGUCAAUGGACGCAAGUCUGAACCAGCCAUGCCGCGUGGAGGAUUAAGGCCCUCUGGGUUGUAAACUCCUUUUAUCUGGGAAGAAAUCCAUAUAUUCUUAUAUGGUUGACGGUACCAGAGGAAUAAGCACCGGCUAACUCCGUGCCAGCAGCCGCGGUAAUACGGAGGGUGCAAGCGUUAUCCGGAUUCACUGGGUUUAAAGGGUGCGUAGGCGGGUAAGUAAGUCCGUGGUGAAAUCUCUGAGCUUAACUCAGAAACUGCCGUGGAUACUAUUUGCCUUGAAUAUUGUGGAGGUGAGCGGAAUAUGUCAUGUAGCGGUGAAAUGCUUAGAUAUGACAUAGAACACCAAUUGCGAAGGCAGCUCACUACACAAUCAUUGACGCUGAGGCACGAAAGCGUGGGGAUCAAACAG